rnacentral:rRNA from 1 species
ACGUAGGGUGCGAGCGUUAAUCGGAAUUACUGGGCGUAAAGCGUGCGCAGGCGGUUUUGUAAGCCAGAUGUGAAAGCCCCGGGCUUAACCUGGGAAUGGCAUUUGGGACUGCAAGGCUGGAGUGUGGCAGAGGAGACUGGAAUUCCUGGUGUAGCAGUGAAAUGCGUAGAUAUCAGGAGGAAUACCGAUGGCGAAGGCAGGUCUCUGGGCUGACACUGACGCUCAUGCACGAAAGCGUGGGGAGCAAACAGGAUUAGAUACCCUGGUAGUCCACGCCCUAAACGAUGUCGACUGGUUGUUGGGGGUUUGACACUCUCAGUAACGAAGCUAACGCGUGAAGUCGACCGCCUGGGGAGUACGGCCGCAAGGUUA